rnacentral:tRNA from 1 species
GGGGAUGUAGCUCAGUUGGAAGAGCGCUUGCCUCACAUGCACAAGGCCCUGGGUUCAAUCCCCAACAAUACCA